rnacentral:rRNA from 1 species
GACAGAGGGUGCAAACGUUGUUCGGAAUUACUGGGCAUAAAGCGCACGUAGGUGGUCUGCUAAGUCAAGUGUGAAAUCCCCCGGCUCAACCGGGGGAUUGCGCUCGAUACUGGCAGGCUCGAGGUUGGUAGGGGUGAGCGGAACUCCAGGUGGAGCGGUGAAAUGCGUAGAUAUCUGCAGGAACACCCGUGGCGAAAGCGGCGCGCUGGACCACUACUGACGCUGAGGAACGAAAGCUAGGGGAGCAAACAGG